CCUCUAAACCUCCACGAAUUCACCCCGGCUCUUCCCGCAGAACGGGAUCGUCCACCGGGACCUGAAGCUGGAGAACAUCCUGCUGGAUGCCAACGGGAACAUCAAGAUUGCAGAUUUUGGGCUGUCCAACGUUUUCCAGCAGGACAAGCUCCUGCAGACCUACUGUGGCAGCCCCCUGUACGCGUCCCCCGAGAUCAUCAACGGGCGGCCCUACAAGGGCCCCGAGGUGGACAGCUGGUCCCUGGGUGUCCUCCUCUACAUCCUGGUCCACGGCACGAUGCCCUUCGACGGCCACGACUACAAGACUCUGGUCAAGCAGAUCACGAGCGGGGACUACCGGGAGCCCACGAAGCUCUC